UGUCAGACUAUAACUAUUCAAUUUAAAUAACAUUUUUACACCCACAAAUUUAUUUUAUUUUAUUUUUUUCACCCAUUGGUGUCACUCUCAAUUCUCAAGUCUCAACUACUACCAGAUUUUCCCUCAAUUUCAUACUGUCUCCAAAAUCAUCACCAGCAGAGACGACAAACAGAACCACCCUUUUGCAACAAAAAACACUGAUUCAAGUAGCAAUGUUGAAUCAAACCAGUCUUCAGGAUCUCUCACCAUCUCUUUUCUCUCUUGUUCUCAUCAGCCGAAACAACACUUCUCUCUCAUAUCCUUAAGCUAUGUGGCCAAGAAAGAAGAUAAAUCGCAGGCGAAGAAAGAAAAUGAGUCAAAGAGAGCUCAUAGGUGCCGAUUUACGCGCAAUCUGAUCAUAUGUUGGAAUUGGGGGACUAGGAAAUAAGGUGGCUCCACCGAUUCAGACUAAAUGGAUCGAGUUGUGAAUCAGUUGUUAACAAUGAUUGAUGGUUUUCACAAUAUGAACAACAUCUUCAUUGUUGGAACAACCAACAAAUUGGACCUUAUACAUCCUGCUCUUCUGAGCUACUUUGACAGUUUGACUCCAAGUUGGACUGGAGUAGAUCUCGAAAGUCUCACAAGAUUGGCGCUGUUAAAUGCUUUAACUCGGGUCAUGGGAGGCACAUUUGGAAAAUUUUGAAAGGAUGGAAGAAAACAGAAGGACACAACACGAGUACACUAGACAUCUAGCCUCCUCCAAGAUGACACAGGCAAAACUUGGGAGAAUUACACAAUUCAAAAACAGGCAAAUGCAUCAUGCUUGAGACUUGAAAGACCAUUUAGCUAGAUUAUGAACAGUCUUGUUGACUUCUCAAUGGACCCAACAAAAUGAUACCUCAC